UACGUAGGCAGCGAGCGUUGUUCGGAGUUACUGGGCGUAAAGAGUGUGUAGGCGGUGCUCUAAGUUCGGUGUGAAAUCUCCUGGCUCAACUGGGAGGGUGCGCCGGAAACUGGAGUGCUUGAGCGUGGGAGAGGAAAGCGGAAUUCCUGGUGUAGCGGUGAAAUGCGUAGAUAUCAGGAGGAACACCUGUGGUGUAGACGGCUUUCUGGACCAUAGCUGACGCUGAGACACGAAAGCGUGGGGAGCGAACAGG
rnacentral:rRNA from 1 species